rnacentral:rRNA from 1 species
AGUGAACGCUGGCGGUAGGCCUAACACAUGCAAGUCGAACGGCAGCACAGUAAGAGCUUGCUCUUACGGGUGGCGAGUGGCGGACGGGUGAGGAAUACAUCGGAAUCUACUUUUUCGUGGGGGAUAACGUAGGGAAACUUACGCUAAUACCGCAUACGACCUACGGGUGAAAGCAGGGGAUCUUCGGACCUUGCGCGAUUGAAUGAGCCGAUUUCGGAUUAGCUAGUUGGCGGGGUAAAGGCCCACCAAGGCGACGAUCCGUAGCCGGUCUGAGAGGAUGAUCGGCCACACUGGAACUGAGACACGGUCCAGACUCCUACGGGAGGCAGCAGUAGGGAAUGUUCGGCAAUGGGCGAAAGCCUGACGGAGCAAAGCCGCGUGAGUGAAGAAGGUCUUCGGAUCGUAAAGCUCUGUUAUUGGGAAAGAAAAAAUGUGGAAGGAACUAUGGACGUCUUGACGGUACCGAAUAAGAAAGCCCCGGCUAACUACGUG